CAAUGCAUUUUGAUGUUGAUGGCUAUGCAGCAAGUCUGGCAGGUCUGAAAUACCGAGCAGAACCCAAUCCUGUAUUUAACAACAUUAUCAAACAUUCCCUGAAGUGUGGUAGAAGGCAGGAAGAAUGACACUUGCUAAUUUGAAUUUCAGAAAGCACCUAAACUUCAUUCUGAUCUCCAGGCUCUGGGACUUUCUCCAGCUGGUUCAUGAAUUGUAUUGACAUGAGAUAACCUGCAGUGGUCACAGGGAUCCAGGGCAGCGUGUGAUUUCUGCUACAACUCUGUGAGGUGCUCCCUGUCUUCCUUCAUUCAUCCACUCGCUCCUGCCCAGGACUGUGCCUUCUAGCAACAUGACACCUGAGAGCAGACCUAUAGGCAGAGCCACAACAUUCCUGUCAAUGGUACUUCUGAGUGGGACAGUCCAAGGACAUCUUUACCAAACCCAGGGGAUAGCACAAGAAAUAGAAAAACGAGGUGACACCAGAAUAAAGGGGAGGCAAACACGACUUUCAGGUUGAGCUUUCAGAAUUUCAUUCUCCUCUUGGUCUUGUGAGGCCGUGCAGCACUCAGCACAGGUCAAGGUCUAAAUGGCACAUUGGUACCCCAGGUGUUCUGCUUGGGUAUUAAAAGACUUAACAAAGCAAGAAUAAAAGACAAUUAUUAUCACAGAGAAGCUGUCUAAUCUGCAUUUCAGUAGAGUUUUUUUUCUCUAAAAGUGAAAUAAUCUGAUCAAAAGAAGAACAAAAAAAUUACUUUGUAUAGAUUACUGAAUUAUACAUAGAUAUACUGAAUUAUUAGGACAUGAAGGGAAAACAAUUCUGCCAUUACAGUAGGCAGAGCAGAGCUUGUCAAAAAGAUAAGGCCAAAAUAAGCUAAAUAUUGUUUCUUUAAGAUUCAAGAACAGGGUUUAUAGCAUUGCAAUGUUUGUGAUUAAUGAGGUAGAAAACAGAUGCUCUAUCAGUGGAGAUAAUAUCAUCAACGUUCUGAGUAAGGAAUAGUUUAUUAUUUCACAAAAGCUUCGUGCCCUUCUGGCCUUGCUUAGGGACUUGGCAGGAUAUGAAAUGAAGAUGAAUGAUAGUUUAAACAGAGUUCACUCUUCCUCACAAGACCUUAUUAGUAAAAUAGGAAUACAGAACAUUGGCUUGCAAGAUUAGUAACAUGUGAAGCACCUCUGUAAUAUACUUUCUUUUUUUUAAAUAAUUGAUUAAGAACAUGUAGGACAGAUCUCAUUAUCAAGGUCUAUUGAUUUUUCUACUCACUGCCUGUUGCUAAAUCAUUUUCCAAUUAUACAAUAAUGUUGUAAGUAUAGAGGACAGAUCUGGGUGGAAGUCUUAAUAAUUCAAUGAGCAGAGCAGGUUUUUUAAGUAGAGAAAGACAGGGAGGUGAUGUGGAACUUGAGCAGAAUGGCUGAUCUAAGUAGCACUGUGAACACUCAGCCUCUCAAAGGAAGCACCAUGGAAAGGUUUAUGUUUAAAGGAGGGUUACCAGAAAACUGGUUUGCCAUAUUGAAAAUUUGUAAGAACAGAAAAGCUGUUUAGUGUUUCUGACAAGAUAGAGGUACUUUUUGAAUCCUUAGACUAUAGGGAAAAAACUUCACUGUUAAGAAUCAAGUAUAAUAAUAAAGGGAAUAGAUCGCAGCAGCCUAGAUACUUGGUCAUUGACAAUUACUGUGUACAUAAAUACUUCUGUAAUUUUUAACAACACUUUUUA